rnacentral:lncRNA from 1 species
UCUGAGCUAGAACAUAAGCUGAUUGAUGAGAUGAGUUAAAAUGCUUCUGAUUGGUUAGACCCUCAAUAUUCCAAACUGAAGUCCAAGGAAGAAGGAUCAGGAAUAGCAGGUACGAAGCCCAUGAGUUAUUUGUCUUACAGGCAUGCACGUGAACAAGGUUCUACAUAGUUCCAGAUUUCCAAUGGACGCUGGUGUUGUUGGCUGACAUCUCCGGGGCUGUACAUCAUGAUGGUUACCAAGACACGACAAUGAUCUAAAUGCUACAGACCUGAAUGAAAUACCAUGACUGCAGGUCGUUGCUGAUUUGCGUUCGAAGAGG